rnacentral:snoRNA from 1 species
CAGACUGUACUCAGCUAGGAUCUAUUCGAUAGUAUCCAACCGAGUAUCGCAAUUUCACAAUUGCCAUGUCGUCAAACCACGACGAUGAGAUUAUGCUGCCGCCUACGACUGAGAAAUGUUUUUCGGGCGAUCUCCUGAUGGAGCAUCACCUGUCGAUGACGUUCCGAGCGCUCCUUUACCUCUGUGUGAGGACCUCGGGGGCGCGCAGCAUGCCUCUGAGCGGU